rnacentral:rRNA from 1 species
UACGGAGGAUGCGAGCGUUAUCCGGAUUUAUUGGGUUUAAAGGGUGCGUAGGCGGGAUGCCAAGUCAGCGGUAAAAAUGCGGUGCUCAACGCCGUCGAGCCGUUGAAACUGGCAUUCUUGAGUGGGCGAGAAGUAUGCGGAAUGCGUGGUGUAGCGGUGAAAUGCAUAGAUAUCACGCAGAACUCCGAUUGCGAAGGCAGCAUACCGGCGCCCUACUGACGCUGAGGCACGAAAGCGUGGGUAUCGAACAGG